AUUGAACGCUGGCGGCAUGCUUUACACAUGCAAGUCGAACGGUAACAGGCCUUCGGGUGCUGACGAGUGGCGAACGGGUGAGUAAUGCAUCGGAACGUACCCAGAGGUGGGGGAUAACGCAGCGAAAGCUGUGCUAAUACCGCAUGUGAUCUGAGGAUGAAAGCGGGGGACCGAGCAGCAAUGUUUGGCCUCGCGCCUUUGGAGCGGCCGAUGUCGGAUUAGCUAGUUGGUGGGGUAAAGGCCUACCAAGGCGACGAUCCGUAGCUGGUCUGAGAGGACGACCAGCCACACUGGGACUGAGACACGGCCCAGACUCCCACGGGAGGCAGCAGUGGGGAAUUUUGGACAAUGGGCGCAAGCCUGAUCCAGCAAUGCCGCGUGCGGGAAGAAGGCCUUCGGGUUGUAAACCGCUUUUGGCAGGAACGAAACGGUGUCCGCUAAUACCGGGCGCUAAUGACGGUACCUGCAGAAUAAGCACCGGCUAACUACGUG
rnacentral:rRNA from 1 species